UGGUGACUUCCGGAAAGCCUUGGACAGGGGU
rnacentral:piRNA from 1 species